rnacentral:rRNA from 1 species
AGAGCGAACGCUGGCGGCAGGCCUAAAACAUGCAAGUCGAACGGACCCUUCGGGGUUAGUGGCGGACGGGUGAGUAACACGUGGGAACGUGCCUUUUGGUUCAGAACAACUCAGGGAAACUUGAGCUAAUACUGAAUAAGCCCUACGGGGGAAAGAUUUAUCGCCAUUAGAGCGGCCCGCGUUGGAUUAGCUAGUUGGUGAGGUAAAGGCUCACCAAGGCUACGAUCCAUAGCUGGUCUGAGAGGAUGAUCAGCCACACUGGGACUGAGACACGGCCCAGACUCCUACGGGAGGCAGCAGUUAGGAAUCUUGCGCAAUGGGCGAAAGCCUGACGCAGCCAUGCCGCGUGAAUGAUGAAGGUCUUAGGAUUGUAAAAUUCUUUCAGUGGGAAGAUAAUGACUGUACCACAGAAGAGCUCCGGCUAACUUCGCGCCAGCAGCCGC